rnacentral:lncRNA from 1 species
GUGUUGGGAGCCUGGCGCGGGCCGGGCGGCGUCGGUUGGGCCUCGGCUGCGGGCGUGGAGACUGCGGGAGGGGCGGCGACGACCACCGACUCGACGGGCCCGACAGCUGCGGCGCCGGCACCAAGGAGACCCCACGGCCGGCAGCGCCUGUCACGUGACCCGCGCCGCGCCCGCCGUCACGUGAGCCGCGGAUCUCGCGAGAGCGCGCCCGUCGUGCGCCGGGGCUCGACGCCCGCAGGGGCCGGGUCUCCCGGACGUCCCCCGCCGUCUGCGCGCGUGACCUGGCCCGGCACGUGACUGUGGGGCCACGUGACCGGCCGCGCCCCCUCCUCCCCGGCCCGCCCCGGGCUCCGGGGGUCUCCGCGCGAAACGGAAAGUGCGGUGGCUCCGGGAAGAGGAAGGAGAAAGGCCGCGGCGGGGGAAAGCCACAGCAGAGAGCUGGAGCAGAAGUGGAGCAGCCCGGACGUGAGGCAGCCCCGCACGCCCAGGCUGACCCUGCUAGGCACAGUGUGCCGGCUUCCUGUGGGACCUCACCGCCAUCGUCUAGGCACAGUGUGCCGGCUUCCUGUGGGACCUCACCGCCAUCGUCUAGGCACAGUGUGCCGGCUUCCUGUGGGACCUCACCGCCAUCGUCUAGGCACAGUGUGCCGGCUUCCUGUGGGACCUCACCGCCAUCAUCGCACCUAACCGGGGAGCCCUGCACAGUGAGGCCGCGUGUCUGCCUUUCGCCAGGGCUGGUGCACAGGUACACACACUUGCAGACGGUGGCCGUUGGCAGGUCCGUCACUGAAAGGAAGACGUGA